UACGUAGGGGGCAAGCGUUGUCCGGAAUUAUUGGGUGUAAAGCGCGCGCAGGCGGCUAUUUAAGUCUCGUGUUUAAGCCCGGAGCUCAACUCCGGUUCGCAUGGGAAACUGGGUAGCUUGAGUGCAGGAGAGGAGAGCGGAAUUCCACGUGUAGCGGUGAAAUGCGUAGAGAUGUGGAGGAACACCAGUGGCGAAGGCGGCUCUCUGGCCUGUAACUGACGCUGAGGCGCGAAAGCGUGGGGAGCGAACAGG
rnacentral:misc_RNA from 1 species